GCUGGGCAGAGUGGUGAACGCUUGUAAUCCAGCUACUUGGAGGCUUGGCAUUGAGGAUGACUUGGGGCAAGGAGUCCUGUAGUGGAACGGAUCAUGCCGACUGAGCGUCCAGGUCAAGAGCGGCGUCAAUAUGGUAACCAUUGAGGAGUUAGUGGUAACCAGGUUAGUCAAAGAGGGACGAUACCGGCUGAGGGCGGAAACGCAGCAGGCAAAAGUCUCCGCGUCAUUACAGUGAUCAGAUAGCGCUUGUGAAUGGUCUGUCCGUUGCUGCCUUGCCAGAAUAGUCCGACUUGAUCCUU
rnacentral:SRP_RNA from 1 species